rnacentral:rRNA from 1 species
UACGUAGGGUGCAAGCGUUAAUCGGAAUUACUGGGCGUAAAGCGUGCGCAGGCGGUGAUGUAAGACAGGUGUGAAAUCCCCGGGCUUAACCUGGGAACUGCAUUUGUGACUGCAUCGCUGGAGUGCGGCAGAGGGGGAUGGAAUUCCGCGUGUAGCAGUGAAAUGCGUAGAUAUGUGGAGGAACACCGAUGGCGAAGGCAGCCCCCUGGGCUAAGAUUGACGCUCAUGCACGAAAGCGUGGGGAGCAAACAGG